rnacentral:rRNA from 1 species
GGUCAAGUGAAGAAGCGCAUACGGUGGAUGCCUUGGCAGUCAGAGGCGAUGAAAGACGUGGUAGCCUGCGAAAAGCUUCGGGGAGUCGGCAAACAGACUUUGAUCCGGAGAUGUCUGAAUGGGGGAACCCAGCCAUCAUAAGAUGGUUAUCUUGUACUGAAUACAUAGGUGCAAGAGGCGAACCAGGGGAACUGAAACAUCUAAGUACCCUGAGGAAAAGAAAUCAACCGAGAUUCCCUUAGUAGUGGCGAGCGAACGGGGACUAGCCCUUAAGUGGCUUUGAGAUUAGCGGAACGCUCUGGAAAGUGCGGCCAUAGUGGGUGAUAGCCCUGUACGCGAAAAUCUCUUAGUCAUGAAAUCGAGUAGGACGGAGCACGAGAAACUUUGUCUGAAUAUGGGGGGACCAUCCUCCAAGGCUAAAUACUACUGACUGACCGAUAGUGAACUAGUACCGUGAGGGAAAGGCGAAAAGAACCCCGGAGAGGGGAGUGAAAUAGAUCCUGAAACCGUAUGCGUACAAGCAGUGGGAGCCCACUUUGUUGGGUGACUGCGUACCUUUUGUAUAAUGGGUCAGCGACUUAUUUUCAGUGGCGAGCUUAACCGAUAGGGGAGGCGUAGCGAAAGCGAGUCUUAAUAGGGCGUCUAGUCGCUGGGAAUAGACCCGAAACCGGGCGAUCUAUCCAUGGGCAGGUUGAAGGUUGGGUAACACUAACUGGAGGACCGAACCGACUACCGUUGAAAAGUUAGCGGAUGACCUGUGGAUCGGAGUGAAAGGCUAAUCAAGCUCGGAGAUAGCUGGUUCUCCUCGAAAGCUAUUUAGGUAGCGCCUCAUGUAUCACUGUAGGGGGUAGAGCACUGUUUCGGCUAGGGGGUCAUCCCGACUUACCAAACCGAUGCAAACUCCGAAUACCUACAAGUGCCGAGCAUGGGAGACACACGGCGGGUGCUAACGUCCGUCGUGAAAAGGGAAACAACCCAGACCGUCAGCUAAGGUCCCAAAGUUAUGGUUAAGUGGGAAACGAUGUGGGAAGGCUUAGACAGCUAGGAGGUUGGCUUAGAAGCAGCCACCCUUUAAAGAAAGCGUAAUAGCUCACUAGUCGAGUCGGCCUGCGCGGAAGAUGUAACGGGGCUCAAACCAUACACCGAAGCUACGGGUAUCACGUAAGUGAUGCGGUAGAGGAGCGUUCUGUAAGCCUGUGAAGGUGAGUUGAGAAGCUUGCUGGAGGUAUCAGAAGUGCGAAUGCUGACAUGAGUAACGACAAUGGGUGUGAAAAACACCCACGCCGAAAGACCAAGGUUUCCUGCGCAACGUUAAUCGACGCAGGGUUAGUCGGUCCCUAAGGCGAGGCUGAAAAGCGUAGUCGAUGGAAAACAGGUUAAUAUUCCUGUACUUCUGGUUAUUGCGAUGGAGGGACGGAGAAGGCUAGGCCAGCUUGGCGUUGGUUGUCCAAGUUUAAGGUGGUAGGCUGAGAUCUUAGGUAAAUCCGGGAUCUUAAGGCCGAGAGCUGAUGACGAGUCAUCUUUUAGAUGACGAAGUGGUUGAUGCCAUGCUUCCAAGAAAAGCUUCUAAGCUUCAGGUAACCAGGAACCGUACCCCAAACCGACACAGGUGGUUGGGUAGAGAAUACCAAGGCGCUUGAGAGAACUCGGGUGAAGGAACUAGGCAAAAUGGCACCGUAACUUCGGGAGAAGGUGCGCCGGUGAGGGUGAAGGACUUGCUCCGUAAGCUCAUGCCGGUCGAAGAUACCAGGCCGCUGCGACUGUUUAUUAAAAACACAGCACUCUGCAAACACGAAAGUGGACGUAUAGGGUGUGACGCCUGCCCGGUGCCGGAAGGUUAAUUGAUGGGGUUAGCUAACGCGAAGCUCUUGAUCGAAGCCCCGGUAAACGGCGGCCGUAACUAUAACGGUCCUAAGGUAGCGAAAUUCCUUGUCGGGUAAGUUCCGACCUGCACGAAUGGCGUAACGAUGGCGGCGCUGUCUCCACCCGAGACUCAGUGAAAUUGAAAUCGCUGUGAAGAUGCAGUGUAUCCGCGGCUAGACGGAAAGACCCCGUGAACCUUUACUAUAGCUUUGCACUGGACUUUGAAUUUGCUUGUGUAGGAUAGGUGGGAGGCUUUGAAGCGUGGACGCCAGUCUGCGUGGAGCCAUCCUUGAAAUACCACCCUGGCAACUUUGAGGUUCUAACUCAGGUCCGUUAUCCGGAUCGAGGACAGUGUAUGGUGGGUAGUUUGACUGGGGCGGUCUCCUCCUAAAGAGUAACGGAGGAGUACGAAGGUGCGCUCAGACCGGUCGGAAAUCGGUCGUAGAGUAUAAAGGCAAAAGCGCGCUUGACUGCGAGACAGACACGUCGAGCAGGUACGAAAGUAGGUCUUAGUGAUCCGGUGGUUCUGUAUGGAAGGGCCAUCGCUCAACGGAUAAAAGGUACUCCGGGGAUAACAGGCUGAUACCGCCCAAGAGUUCAUAUCGACGGCGGUGUUUGGCACCUCGAUGUCGGCUCAUCACAUCCUGGGGCUGAAGCCGGUCCCAAGGGUAUGGCUGUUCGCCAUUUAAAGUGGUACGCGAGCUGGGUUUAGAACGUCGUGAGACAGUUCGGUCCCUAUCUGCCGUGGACGUUUGAGAUUUGAGAGGGGCUGCUCCUAGUACGAGAGGACCGGAGUGGACGAACCUCUGGUGUUCCGGUUGUCACGCCAGUGGCAUUGCCGGGUAGCUAUGUUCGGAAUAGAUAACCGCUGAAAGCAUCUAAGCGGGAAACUAGCCUCAAGAUGAGAUCUCACUGGAACCUUGAGUUCCCUGAAGGGCCGUCGAAGACUACGACGUUGAUAGGUUGGGUGUGUAAGCGCUGUGAGGCGUUGAGCUAACCAAUACUAAUUGCCCGUGAGGCUUGACCAU